rnacentral:rRNA from 1 species
GGGCUAGCCUCAAGGUGAGAGAUACGGAGGUAGAGCACUGAAUGUCCUAGGGGGUAUUGCACCUACCGAAGACUAUCAAACUCCGAAUGCCGUCAUCUUAUACUUGGGAGUCAGACUGUGGGUGAUAAGAUUCAUAGUCGAAAGGGCAACAGCCCAGAUCGUCAGCUAAGGUCCCUAAAUGUAAGUUAAGUGGUAAAGGAUGUGGGAUUGCACAGACAACCAGGAUGUUGGCUUAGAAGCAGCCACUCAUUCAAAGAGUGCGUAAUAGCUCACUGGUCGAGUGAUCCUGCGCCGAAGAUUUCCGGGGCUAAAACUUAC